rnacentral:rRNA from 1 species
ACCUGGUUGAUCCUGCAGU